CUCCCAGGGGACUAUCCUGAGCACCCCUCCCAGCAGGCACUGCGGCCCUGACGGGCUGUCCCCGCUCCAGCCCACAGUCGUGAGGGAGGUGGACACAUGAACGGACCCUGGCCGGGGGAGGAAGAGGAGGCCGGCGGCUCAGCCAGGACUGGAAAGGCCUUCCGGAUGCCAGGGUUGAGAGCAGCCCACCUGACUCAGCCCGUGCCACCUGCCAAGAGUGUUGUGAUGAGGAGCGUAACCCAGCUCAGCCGGACACUGAACCAGUUGUUACAAAUGAAAGACCAGGAGGCUCCAUCUCCCGGGAAGAGGGAGGCCAGACCAAUUUACACGGGAACCUGGCUUGAGUCUGAGUUCUGGGGUCAGGACCCUUAUCCUGCCCCACCUGGAGGCUUGCAGGACUGGAAGUACUUGCGGUUUGGGGCCACAACCUGGGGCGGCCCAGUGUUUCGUUGGUUCGAAUCCUGGGCGUGGACAUGGCACUGCUCAUCAAACCACGUUGCGGCGGCAGCCCACAUGCCACAACUAGAAGGACCCACACGAAGAAUAUACAACUAUGUACUGGGGGGCUUUGGGGAGAAAAAG
rnacentral:lncRNA from 1 species